GCCAAAGGUGUCGUCCUUCCUCCCCAGCGGCAGUGUGUAUCCCAGGGAGCCAAAGGUGUCGUCCUUCCUCCCCAGCGGCAGAGUAAGUCCCAGGGAGCCAAAGGUGUCGUCCUUCCUCCCCAGCGGCAGUGUGUAUCCCAGGGAGCUGAAGGUGCAGUCCUUCCUCCCCAGCAGCAGUGUGAGUCCCAGGGAGCCAAAGGUGUCGUCCUUCCUCCCCAGCGGCAGUGUGUGUCCCAGGGAGCUGAAGGUGUGUCCUUCCUCCCCAGCGGCAGUGUGUAUCCCAGGGAGCUGAAGGUGCCGUCCUUCCUCCCCAGCGGCAGUGUGUACCCCAGGGAGCUGAAGGUGUCGUCCUUCCUCCCCAGCGGCAGUGUGUACCCCAGGGAGCAGAAGGUGUCGUCCUUCCUCCCCAGCGGCAGUGUGUAUCCCAGGGAGCCAAAGGUGUCGUCCUUCCUCCCCAGCGGCAGUGUGUACCCCAGGGAGCUGAAGGUGCCGUCCUUCCUCCCCAGCGGCAGUGUGUAUCCC